GAUGAACGCUGGCGGCGUGCCUAAUACAUGCAAGUCGAGCGAACAGACGAGGAGCUUGCUCCUCUGACGUUAGCGGCGGACGGGUGAGUAACACGUGGAUAACCUACCUAUAAGACUGGGAUAACUUCGGGAAACCGGAGCUAAUACCGGAUAAUAUAUUGAACCGCAUGGUUCAAUAGUGAAAGACGGUUUUGCUGUCACUUUUAGAUGGAUCCGCGCCGCAUUAGCUAGUUGGUAAGGUAACGGCUUACCAAGGCGACGAUGCGUAGCCGACCUGAGAGGGUGAUCGGCCACACUGGAACUGAGCCACGGUCCAGACUCCUACGGGAGGCAGCAGUAGGGAAUCUUCCGCAAUGGGCGAAAGCCUGACGGAGCAACGCCGCGUGAGUGAUGAAGGUCUUCGGAUCGUAAAACUCUGUUAUUAGGGAAGAACAAAUGUGCAAGUAACUAUGCACGUCUUGACGGUACCUAAUCAGAAAGCCACGGCUAACUACGUG
rnacentral:rRNA from 1 species